GUAACAAAUCUGGGAAAGUUCAAAACUGGCUCACUGGCUGGAAUUCAUUUGUUGUACUGAUAAUUGACUACACAAAAUUAUGUACUUAAAUCUUGAUGUUUGCAGUAGUGACCUUAGCUGUUAGACUGGCCUGGUUCCUGCUUCUCUGGAAGGAGCACUUCUGUCAACUGCACCAUGUUGUGGUGUUGCCAGGGGCCACACACAGCUUAGAGAAAAUUUCAGGAUGAGCCUGACAUGUAGGUAGGUGUUUAAAUAGAGGGAAAAGGUAUAAGCUUUCCCCUUUGUGCUACU